rnacentral:misc_RNA from 1 species
AUGUUUACGCCGCAAAGGAAGGUGUGGUCCGGCUGGUCGCUGACGCCACGAAGCGAGGCCCAGAAGAGCGGAGCGGGGUCGGAUCCAAAUAUGAAUGCAAACGGUCCAAAGAACCUGAAUUCUGUGGACGGGAGCGUUUUGAAGGGGAAGACUGUGGCUUUUGCUGAGCCGGUGACUCCUAAUGGCGUUGGAUUGGCCUUGGAAGGUGAUGGAGUGGAGAAGAUUUCAAACCUCGAAAACGAGCUGUUUGACUAUCAAUACAAUAUGGGGCUUCUAUUGAUUGAGAAGAAAGAAUGGACGUCAAAGUAUGAAGAACUCAGGCAAGCAAUUACAGAAACUACAGAUGCACUGAAACGAGAACAAGCAGCACAUUUGAUUGCAAUCUCUGAUGCUGAGAGGCGAGAGGAGCAUUUGAGGAAGGCCUUGGGUGUUGAGAAACAGUGUGUGCUUGAUUUGGAGAAGGCAGUUAGUGAGAUGCGUGCUGAGAAUGCAGAACUAAAGUUUACAGCUGAUUCAAAGUUGGCUGAAGCAAAUGCAUUGAUCACUAAUGUUGAAGAGAAAUCCUUGGAAAUAGAGGCAAAAUUGCGUGCUGCCGAUGCUAAGUUUGCUGAAGUGAGUAGAAAGAGAUCAGAGAUUGAUAGGAAAUCACAGGAUGUGGAAUCUCGUGAAAGUAUUCUUAAGAGGGAGCGCUUGUCCUUUAUCGCAGAGAGAGAAGCACAUGAGUCUGCUUUAUCUGGGCAAAGAGAGGACUUGCGAGAAUGGGAAAGAAAAUUACAAGAGGGAGAAGAAAGGCUAUCCAAAGCACAAAGGAUUAUCAACCAAAGAGAGGAAAGGGCCAGUGAGAAUGAUAGGAUCUUUAAACAAAAAGAGAAGGACCUUGAAGAGGCGCGAGAAAAGAUUGAUGAAGCAAACUCAAUCUUGAAAAGUAAAGAAGAUGAAAUGAACAGCAGACUGGCUAAUUUAACUCUAAAAGAGAAGGAAUUCGGCGCUACGAGAAAGAAACUAGAGAUGAAAGAGCAAGAGUUGCAUGCCUUAGAAGAAAAGCUAAAUGAUAGAGAAAAAGCUGAGAUUCAGAAGCUCAUUGAUGAACACAAUGCCAUUUUGGAUGAAAAAAGGCGUGAAUUUGAAUGGGAAGCUGACCAAAAGAGGAAAUCUCUGGAUGAGGAUCUGAAAAGCAAGGUGGUUGAAGUGGAAAAGAAGGAAGUUGAAAUCAAGCAUGUGGAGGAGAAAAUUCUGAAAAGGGAGCAAGCAUUGGAUAAAAGGUUGAAUAAGCUCAAGGAGAAAGAGAAAGAAUUUGAGUCAAAAUCAAAAGCACUAAAGGAAAGGGAGAAAACCAUAAGAUCUGAGGAAAAGAAUGUGGAGACAGAGAGACGACAACUGAAUUCUGAUAAAGAGGAUUUUCUGAAUCUCAAGGAUGAACUUGAGAAGAUAAGAGCUGCCAAUGAAGAACAGCUGCUGAAGAUUCGUGAAGAGAACGAACGGCUCAAAGUAAAUGAAGAAGAGAGGGCUGAGUAUGUUCGAUUGCAGUCUGAACUAAAAGAGGAGAUAGAAAAGUGCAGGCAUCAGGAAGCAUUGCUUUUGAAGGAGGCUGAAGAUUUAAAGCAGCAAAAGGAGAAAUUUGAGAGGGAAUGGGAAGAUCUGGAUGAGAAAAGAGCUGAGAUUGAGAAAGAGCUGAAGAGCAUCAGCGAGCAGAAGGAAAAUUUUGAAAAGCUGAAAGUCUCGGAAGAAGAAAGAAUAAAAAAUGAAAAAAAAGCAGUGGAAGACUAUGUUAAAAGGGAGCGGGAAGCUCUUGAAAUUGCCAAAGAAUCUUUUGAGGCCAAUAUGGAGCAUGAACGGUCUGUGAUAGCUGAGAAAGCUCAAAGUGAGAGAAAGCAAAUGCUGGAUGAGUUUGAUCUUCAAAAGAGUGAACUUGAGAAUGAUUUGCAGAAAAGGCAGGAGGAGAUGGAAAAUCUUUUGCGCAGUAAAAACGAAUUGUUCGAAGAAGAGAAAGAAAGAGAAUUAAAUAACAUUAAUUUCUUAAGAGAUCUAGCUAGAAGAGAAAUGGAAGAAACGAAAUUGGAAAGAAUCAGGAUAGAAAAAGAACGGCUAGAAAUUGAAGAAAAUAAAAAGCAUCUUCAAGAGCAACAACUCGAAAUGCGAGAAGAUAUUGAUAAGCUGGGCGAUCUUAGCAGGAAAUUGAAGGACCACAGAGAACAAUUUAUUAAGGAGAAAGAGCGCUUCAUUUUGUUUGUUGAGCAACACAAGAGUUGCAAGAACUGUGGUGAAAUAACUUCCGAGUUUGUGCUUUCUGAUUUAAUAUUGUCACAAGAAAUUGAGAAUGCAGAGGUCCUUCCCAAACAAGGGUUGGUUAAUAAUAAUGUGACAGGAGAUGAUAAUCAAAAUCUGGUGGCGGCUGCGAGGCAAGAGAUUGAUAAAUCUCCCACUGCAUUUCAUUCGGUAUCUCCAGUUUCAUGGCUCCGUAAAUGCACAUCAAAGCUAUUUAACUUUUCCCCAGGUAAAAAGAAUGAGCCUGCUGCUGUACAAAAUCUGACAGAGGGGGAACCUUUGUCUGUUGACAACAUGGAAGAACCAUCAAAAGUAAUAAAUUCCACUGUAAAUGAAAGGGAGUCAUCUUUUGCAAUUGGAAAUGAUCUAUUGGAUCUCCAGAGGAUACAGGCAGAUUCUAGCAUCAGAGAGGUUGAAGCUGCUCAGGAUUUGUCAGUUGAUGAUCAGAGCAAUAUUAACAGUGAGGCUCUGGAAAUUCAGGAGGACUCUCAGCGGUCUGAUUUAAAGCUUGGCCGCCAGCCUCAUAAAAGACUCAGGCCAAGAGUUAGCAGAACACGCUCGGUGAAGGCAGUUGUACAGGAUGCCAAGGCUAUACUGGGGGAAUCUUUGGAGCUAAAUGAGACUGAAAAUUCUAGCCAUCUGAAAGCUGAAAGCCGCGAUGAGUCUAGUCUUGCAGAUAAAGGAACUCCAAGAAAUGCCCGGAAACGGAACCGUGCUCAUACAUCUCAAAAUACAGUGAGUGAACGUGAUGGUGAAGAAAGUGAGGGACAUUCUGAUAGUGUCACAGCUGGCAAGCGUAGGAGGAGGCAACAAAAAGUUGCUGUUGUGCAAGCUCCAGGGGAAAAGCGUUACAAUCUUCGACGACCCAAGCGUGGAGUCACAGUUGUGACUGAUAAAGCCUUGUCAGAUAACAAUCGUGAAAACAAGGAAGAUGGUGUUGAGGGUCUGACUUCGACGGGGAUGGUUAGUGAGAAUGGUGGGAUUCCACACACUGAACAGUUGGAGAAGGUCUCAGAUGAUCAGGAUGGUGAUGCUGAUACAACCAGAAACAUGGUUGACAGUGCUGCAUUGAGUGAGGAGGUGAAUGGUACUCCAGAUGCCGCCGGUCAGUAUGGUGUUGGAGAUGAGUACAGGAGUGAAUCCCGAAUAGAAGAUGAAGAUGAGGAUGAGGAUGAGGAAGAUGAGUCUGAACAUCCUGGUGAAGUCUCAAUUGGGAAGAAGCUUUGGACUUUCUUCACAACGUGAUGACCGAAUAUUGUGUUUGGUUGGGUGGCUUUUAUGGAUUCUUGAUUGUUUAAAAAAAAAAAAGAAUAUAUAUAUAUUUUUUAAUUAGGAUUUGGUGUUAGGAGUUCUUUGACGUGUAUUAGUGUGUAUUAACAAAUCAAAUGUAGUAAUGAAGUCUUAAUCCAGGUGGAGGGAUCUUGUUUUCUUUGGCCCUCGUUUUCUUUUUGGUUAGGAUUCAGGAUUUUGGGGGCUGUUAUAAUUCAGUACAAUCGUAGAUGAUUUGAUGUAGCAAUGACCAGUGCGAUAUUAAAACACUGGAGACAUCUUCCACAUCACCCAUAUUGUUUGCAUCAAAGUGCUUGUAUUUUUUUUUUUUAAAAAAAA